rnacentral:rRNA from 1 species
CCAGACUCCUACGGGAGGCAGCAGUGGGGAAUAUUGCACAAUGGGGGGAACCCUGAUGCAGCGACGCCGCGUGGGUGAAGAAGUCAUUCGUGACGUAAAGCCCUAUCAGCAGGGAAGAAAAUGACGGUACCUGACUAAGAAGCCCCGGCUAACUACGUGCCAGCAGCCGCGGUAAUACGUAGGGGGCAAGCGUUAUCCGGAAUUACUGGGUGUAAAGGGAGAGUAGGCGGCAGGGCAAGCCUGAUGUGAAAGCCCGGGGCUCAACCCCGGGACUGCAUUGGGAACUGCCCCGCUCGAGUGCCGGAGGGGCAGGCGGAAUUCCUAGUGUAGCGGUGAAAUGCGUAGAUAUUAGGAGGAACACCAGUGGCGAAGGCGGCCUGCUGGACGGUGUACUGACGCUGAGGCUCGAAAGCGUGGGGAGCAAACAGGAUUAGAUACCCGAGUA